rnacentral:rRNA from 1 species
GAUGAACGCUGGCGGCGUGCCUAAUACAUGCAAGUCGAGCGAACGGACGAGAAGCUUGCUUCUCUGAUGUUAGCGGCGGACGGGUGAGUAACACGUGGAUAACCUACCUAUCAGACUGGGAUAAAUUCGGGAAACCGGAGCUAAUACCGGAUAAUAUUUUGAACCGCAUGGUUCAAAAGUGAAAGACGGUCUUGCUGUCACUUAUAGAUGGAUCCGCGCUGCAUUAGCUAGUUGGUAAGGUAACGGCUUACCAAGGCAACGAUGCAUAGCCGACCUGUGAGGGUGAUCGGCCACACGGGAGCUGAGCCACGGUCCAGACUACUACGGGAGGCAGCAGUAGGGAAUCGUCCGCAAUGGGCGAAAGCCUGACGGAGCAACGCCGCGCGAGAGAUGACGGUCUUGGGAUCGUAAAACUCUGUUAUUAGGUAAGAACAUAUGUGUAAGUAACUGUGCACAGCGUGACGGUAACUAGUCAGAAAGCCACGGCUAACUACGUG